rnacentral:lncRNA from 1 species
GGAGAAGAGCCCUGUUGGAGGCCCCGUCCUUGACCCUGACGGGUUGCUACCUGUUUAGCCUCCAGGGCUCUUUCUUAAGGAACUAGUUGUUUGUGGAAUGUUUGGGGCACUUUCUGAUUGGUUGAGGGACUAUCCACAAGAUCUUGGAAGUCCUCAGAAUCCCCUCGUUCUGUUGUGGAAGCCUAACUUCUAAUCUUUUCUCACAAAGUCCACACAUGCUAUCUGUGUGACCAUCCUGUGCCCCAACCAACUUGGUAAGACUCCAUGUUUCAGAAUUGCUGGCUUGCACCAUCAGUGGAUGUAUACCAGAAGUACCCUACUAAGAUGAAAUCAGAGCCUGGACUCCCUAACCCACUCCCAAAAUGGUAUGCUAACUUCCUGACAUGCCAGUGUUAGCCAUCUGCAGCCUUCCUGUUUCUGUUCCCAUUUUGGAGUUCCUUUCGCAAAACAUCUCUGUGGCUCCAGGUCCUGAACUCCUUCAUACUUCUGAGAUGUUUCCUCUCCAUUCCCUUGGCCUUGUGACAACAAAGACGUGGCAGUGCCUGUGGAGGAAGAGAACUUUCCAUAUGCCCUGAAGGUACCAAGAACUGCCAGGAUAAAAGCUUCUAAGAGAAUCCAGAAGAUACACGUGGAAUUUCGGUCACAAAGAGAACAAAAGCCGAGAGCCUGGUCCUCCUCCAUUAAUGAAGUCAUAUACCCUCUUUCAAACUGGCUAUUAGUUUAAGGCUCUUUUUGGAGGGCUGUGUAUGUGUGGAGAGGCCCAUAUUUAUAGAGGCACCACGACUCACAGCUGGAAGGGAGGCCACCUGGUCCAAGAAUCCCCUCUGCCACAUCCCCACGUGGUCAUCCAGUCAUCACUUGAGACCCUCUAGUGGGGGAAAUUCAUUACUUCCUAAAGCAUCCCAUUUGAUUUGGGAGAUCUCUAAGUAUUAGGGAUUUUUUUCAUCAUGUUGAACUUUAAAAGGCCAUGUGGUCUCAGAGCCAGAAAGAGCUGGGGUGAAGUUCUGCCUCUGACACACAGUGGCUGUGUGACUCUAGACAAGUCCCCUAACCCCGACGUACUCUAGGCAGCUUUCUAAGACUGUCUGUUGCAGAGAAAGUUCCAACCCGUGUUGGUGGAGGGAGACUCCCUCACGGAGGGUUUCUCUUCUAUCACGGUGAAAUGACAGGUCCAGUCCUGUCCCUAUUCCUGUCAAGCCCAAAUCUGUCUCUCUACAACCUCCACACAUUGUGCAGCUGUACCCUUUGGGACCAUGUAGAAUAAGUCCAAUCCUGAUACAUUAUAGCCCUUCUGAUACUUGAAGGUAGCUGUCAUGCUUUACCUUGCCAACUCUCUUCUGGGCUAAACAUUCCCAGCUCCUCAGAGUUGAAUAGAAAAUUUGAUUUUCAAAUACAAGACUCGAGUGGAACAUGAAGAGGAGAGUGGACACAAGAAAGAAGAUCUCCACAAGAAAACAGUCUGCUGAACACUGCUUGAACAGCACUCAGACCAGAAAACUUCACCGGAGGAUGUCCAGAACACCAACCAGACAGCUGCAUGAGAUGCCUUAAAUGGACUAUUUAUUGUUCUGAAGAAUUGGCAGAGAACUCUGGGAUAGAUAAUUCAUCAACUGGACAGUUAGAGUCAUAGUUUGGGAAAUGGAAAAGAAUGGCAGUAUCUAUUUUAACCUCCCUACUAAUGCAGAGGUUAAUAGAAACCACCAUUACCAAACAACUGCCUGUACAAUAUAAGAACCAAAUUUGAGGAGGGUGUGGAAAUAAAAAUUACGGAUGAAAGAAGAGGAGAUAACGC